rnacentral:rRNA from 1 species
UACGUAGGGUGCAAGCGUUGUCCGGAAUUAUUGGGCGUAAAGAGCUCGUAGGCGGUUUGUCGCGUCUGCUGUGAAAACCCGCAGCUCAACUGUGGGCUUGCAGCCGAUACGGGCGGGCUGGGAUUCGGUAGGGGAGACUGGAAUUCCUGGUGUAGCGGUGAAAUGCGCAGAUAUCAGGAGGAACACCCGGUGGCGAAGGCGGGUCUCUGGGCCGAUAUCGACGCUGGAGGAGCGAAAGCCGU